GGGAACUCCAGGACCAGGUACAUAUCAGCUCACCUGGCACAAAGGGCAGCGGAAUAGCACUGACAUUAAAAUGAACAAGACCCACAACCUCCUUUUCCGCAGCAUACCUUGAAAUUUCCCCUCCCUUUUGCCUUUGGGUUUCCUAUAAUUCUUAAUAUCAUUCAUUUUUCUUCAACUUAGUUCCCUCAGUCAUCAGGGGUCGCCACAGUGGAAUGAACUGCCAACUUAUCCAGCGUAUGUUUUAAACAGGUGUGUUUUCAGGUGUAUUACUGUAUAUUUUAUGCUAGUUUGAAUUCACAAUAAAUGAAAUUAGAUG